GACGAACGCUGGCGGCGUGCUUAACACAUGCAAGUCGUACGGUAAGGCCCGUUCCUUGGUACACGAGUGUCGACCGCGUACGUAAGACUUAAGUAAGCUGCCCACAACUUUGAGAUAGGGCUAAGAAACUGGAACUAAUACUAGUAAUGUAUUACAUCUUCAUACGGAGGGUUGAAAAGCUCCGGCGGUUUUUGCUGUACUCGCGGCCUAUCAGCUUGUUGGUUGGGUAGUGGCCUACCAAGACGGCGACGGGUAGCCUGCCUGAGAGGGUGACCGGCGACCCAGGGACUGAGAUACGGCGCAGACUGGUACGGGCGGCAGAAGUGGGGAAUAUUGCCGAAUGGGCGCAAGCCUGAUGAAGAAGGGCUGCGUGCGGGAUGACGGCUUUAUGGUGGUAAACCGCGUUCAGAAGGGACGAAGCUUUUUGUGACGGUACCUAAAGAAGAAGCAACGGCUAACUACGUG
rnacentral:rRNA from 1 species